rnacentral:rRNA from 1 species
GAUGAACGCUGGCGGCGUGCUUAACACAUGCAAGUCGAACGGAAAGGCUCCUGCUUGCAGGGGUACUCGAGUGGCGAACGGGUGAGUAACACGUGGGUGAUCUGCCCUGCACUUCGGGAUAAGCCUGGGAAACUGGGUCUAAUACCGGAUAGGACGAUGGUUUGGAUGCCAUUGUGGAAAGUUUUUCGGUGGGGGAUGAGCUCGCGGCCUAUCAGCUUGUUGGUGGGGUAAUGGCCUACCAAGGCGUCGACGGGUAGCCGGCCUGAGAGGGUGUACGGCCACAUUGGGACUGAGAUACGGCCCAGACUCCUACGGGAGGCAGCAGUGGGGAAUAUUGCACAAUGGGCGCAAGCCUGAUGCAGCGACGCCGCGUGGGGGAUGACGGCCUUCGGGUUGUAAACUCCUUUCGCUAGGGACGAAGCGCAAGUGACGGUACCUGGAGAAGAAGCACCGGCUAACUACGUG